UACGUAGGGCGCAAGCGUUAUCCGGAAUUAUUGGGCGUAAAGAGCUCGUAGGCGGUUUGUCGCGUCUGCCGUGAAAGUCCGGGGCUCAACUCCGGAUCUGCGGUGGGUACGGGCAGACUAGAGUGAUGUAGGGGAGACUGGAAUUCCUGGUGUAGCGGUGAAAUGCGCAGAUAUCAGGAGGAACACCUGCGGCGAAGGCGGGUUGCUGGGCUGACACUGACGCUGAUGCGCGAAAGCCAGGGGAGCGAACGGG
rnacentral:rRNA from 1 species